rnacentral:misc_RNA from 1 species
CAACCCUCAAGCCCGACUUUUCCUUGGAGAAGAACCGGCUUGGUGUUGGGGACCGGCAGUUCCGCCGCCCCCGAAAACCAUUGGCGGCCCUUCGAGGCGACCUCUGCGUAGUAACCUAACCUCGCACUGGGAAGCUUGGAGCGGCCACGCCGUAAAACCCCCGACUUUUAUCAAGG